AAGUCGUAACAAGGUUUCCGUAGGUGAACCUGCGGAAGGAUCAUUAACACGUAUCCACGUUUAUCAACCAAUGCGAACUCGUUUUCCCGUCUCCCUUUGGCACUAGAAUGAAUUGGAACCAGUUUGAGGGAAUUGAUGUGGGCUGCUUCACGGCAGUCGGCCUUCCUGGUACACUUAUGUCGGAGAAAUCUGAUAUUGACAAUUGAAUCUUUUGUUUGAAGGCCAAAUUUCUUAAUUCUACUUUGAUCUCCAUCAUGAUCGCCGAGUAGUUUUAGGAGUAAACAUUUAAACCAUUUUCACCACCUUUUUGCUAGUUGACUUUUUAUCUGUGAUUAUUUUGUCUCGUGCAAUGUUUUCACACGUUUAAUUAAUUGAACGUUAAAAAAUACAACUCUUAGCAAUGGAUAUCUUGGUUCUC
rnacentral:misc_RNA from 1 species